rnacentral:rRNA from 1 species
GAUGAACGCUAGCGGCAGGCUUAACACAUGCAAGUCGAGGGGUAGAGGAAGCUUGCUUCCUUGAGACCGGCGCACGGUUGCGUAACGCGUAUACAAUCUACCUUUUACAGAGGGAUAGCCCAGAGAAAUUUGGAUUAAUACCUCAUAGUAUUUUCGGAAGGCAUCUUCUGAUUAUUAAAGUUCCAACGGUAAAAGAUGAGUAUGCGUCCCAUUAGCUAGAUGGUAAGGUAACGGCUUACCAUGGCUAUGAUGGGUAGGGGUCCUGAGAGGGAGAUCCCCCACACUGGUACUGAGAAACGGACCAGACUCCUACGGGAGGCAGCAGUGAGGAAUAUUGGACAAUGGGCGCAAGCCUGAUCCAGCCAUGCCGCGUGCAGGAAGACGGUCCUAUGGAUUGUAAACUGCUUUUAUACAGGAAGAAACACACCCUAGUGAGGGUACUUGACGUUACUGUAUGAAUAAGCAUCGGCUAACUCCGUGCCAGCAGCCGCCGUAA